rnacentral:lncRNA from 1 species
AUGCUGAGACGGGGAUUCGUAUUUCACACGUUCCCGGCGGCGCGGGGGAGGAUGCACCAGCGCUGCUGCGUAGGGACUCGGCGCUGCGAGCGGUCCCGAAUUCCCUCAAACCCCGCCGCCCCUCCCGCACGGGCUCCCUCCAGGCGGGGACACCGGGCCGGCUCCGCUCCGCCGCCGAGCGAGCAGCGCCGUACCCCGGCUGCGGCAGCGGGAAGGGCCCGGGGAAGCCACCCCCAGGGAGACGGGAACGCGAAACGCAGCAGUGGUAUUGUCAAACCAAUAACCUGCAUCUCACUUGAUUUGGGUGCCACAUGAGGUGAUGCAGAAAGCUGUCUGUGCUGUGAGGAACACCACAGAGUGCCUUGAGAUGGAGAACAGCAAAAAAGACCUUCAGUUUGGGGAGCUGGCUCAAACACUUCUUCAGCAUGCAGUGGCUUUCAUAGAAGAGGUUUUUAUAUCUGAAUACUUAUGAUAAAGCAGAAUAAAAAAAAGAAAAUAAAAAGACA